GACUUGUUGCCGUUCCUCCUAAAGUUGAUUGGUGAUCAAACUAGCAUGAAUGAAGGAGUUGAGAAGGAAAGAGGAUGCAAUAGCACGAGGUGACCGAGAUUCCGUUUAACAAUUUUCUUUAUUGCUGGAACAAGUCUUAACCAAGAUCAAGAUCAAAGUACUUCACUAAGUUAUAUAUGCUGGCAUUGUAAUACUUUGGCUGCAUCUAAGCUUGAACCAACCCUCUGUUGUAUAUUGUUUCUUCUUCUU